AAACCACUCCUCCAAGUGCACCUGGCAGACAGAGGUUCACACCCCAUGAGUCAGCUGAGGAGACAUUUUAAACAGCAAGACAGUCACUGGAAGGAAAAUAUUACAAGAGUAGCUGACCCCCACGUCCCCUGGAGGUGGGGGGGUGAUGCCUGGCAAGGGGCCUGAGGAGACUCUCUGAGGCAUUGGAAUGGAACUCUACCCACACUGGCCGCAAUUAAUGAUAUGUGGAAGUAUUUGGGGUGAGUUAGCCUGGUGACUAUAAUUCACCUUGAAAUACAUCAAACGCUCAGCUGAACUGAUGAAGAGAAGCAGAAUAUGGAGAGAUAAGUAAUAAAGAACAUGUGGCCAAUAUCAA